rnacentral:lncRNA from 1 species
CAUUACAUUUCAACGAGGACCACAAAAUCUGCAGGAAAUGGACUGACCACGGAUGGGAUUUAUGUCAUGUGACGAUGCAUUUCCAUGAUAAUUCUAAGAUUCCAUGUGGACGUGCUUUAGAUAAUACUACACGCUGUCACUAAUGGAUACAGGUGCUCAUCGGUUUGGCAGUUGAGCAGCAGCGACAUCAAUUUCUACUAACCUGGUGUGUGCUGGGAAGACAUUCAGCACUUUUAAGAAGAGAUAAACGGUAUCCUUAGCACCGUGUGGGGACAUGGAACCAGAAGCUGAAGAAGCAGAGGAGACAACGUUAGAGUCUGAGAUGUUUGUAAAGACAGUUUGUGACAAACAGGAGGUGAAGAGUGAAGAACCUAUUUGGCAGCCUUGGCAGGUGUUUGAAGAACCAAUCAUGGAGCUGCAGAGAAAGAAUAUCACAGAAAAAGAGGGUCAGAAGAAAUCAGCAGAAGACAACAAGAAUGAAGAAGGAAGUGAGACGAAAAAUGAAAUGGUUAAUAAAGUGGCAGAAGAGAUGAAGUGUGCUGAAAACUUAAGCAACAUGGCAACAGAUGCUAAUGACUCAAGUGGCGACCCAACCAAUGAGCCCAUCUCCUCAAAUUCUCACACCAACCCACCUAAGACCAAUGAAUCAGACAUAGAGCACAGCAGAAAACUGUCAAAGACUCCCAGCUUUGGGAAAACAGUUCGUUUUUUGGAAAUUGAAGCAGUGGAAGAAAGGGACAGCUCAGUGGACUCUCUUUUUCCAGACUUUGAGAUAGAAGAAUGGACCACCACCAGCUUUGAGGAGCUGUUUCUGGCAGAUGACUGGAAGGACAUUGCAGAUGACCGUCUGCUAAGGAAGAAAGUGUUACAGGCCAGUCCCGAGAAUGUCCUGACCCCGGCUUGGGGUCAAGAGGUCACACUGAAAAUGCAGGGUGUGCUGGAGGAUAGGACUGUGGUGGAGAAAGACUGCAAGCUGGUCUUCAUUAUCGGAGAGGGAGAUGUCAACCAGGCCCUGGAAGAGUGCGUCAUUUCAAUGACGAAAGGGGAGAUCGCUUUACUGCUUGCAGAUUCACAAUACACCUACGGACACCUGGGAAGGUUGGGACAGAGUCCUUUUUUACCUGUUGCUCUCAGGGCAAACGGCCUGUCCCCAGUAGCUUGUUUAAUGAACCAUGAACAGGAGCAGAUGGCCUUCCCAAAACACCAUGGGAACUCCUCCCCUCCCCUAUCCUGUCAGUUCUUUAACUAAAGGCAAUCAUUUUGUUUAACCACUUGCUUCACUCAUUUAUUUACACCAAGAAGGUGAAAACUCAUUAAAAUGUAAGUUCAUUACUUACAUUGUUGAUGUGUAUCGUUUCAGAAGUAAAAGACAGAAACAGUGUUGUCUGAAUCAGCACAUUCUCCGGAAUGUGUGACAUAUAUCAGAUGAUGGCAAAACUGACUCAUUAUCAGGCAACCCCCAUGCACAUGGUGAUAUACAGAUAAAGAGGAAGUACUGUACAUAAUGCUAUAAAUAUAUUGUUGAGUUAUUUUUUUUUUUUUGUAUAGAAGUCUUGUGUGCACACUUAGGCUGCAUUUAUUUUAUUAUGAAAUAUUGUCAAAUUGUAAUUUUCAUUAGCUAUUACUCCAGUCUUCAGUGGCGUGAUCCUUCAGAAUUCCUUCUAAUAUGCUGAUUUGUUGCUCAAGAAAGAAACACUCCUAAUUACCAAUGCUAAAAACAUUUUUUCCCCCCAGAAUUCAUUGAUGAAUAGAAAGUUCAAAAGAACAGCAUUGAUUUAAAAUUAUGUACAUUUUUACCAAUUUAAGGCACCCUUGCUGAUUAAAAAUGUUACUUUAAUAAAUAGAUAAAUAAUCUAUUACUGAGCCCAAACUUAUGAAUGUAGUAUAUUGGAAAUAAUAUACAAACCCGAUUCCAAAAAAGUUGGGACACUGUACAAAUUGUGAGUAAAAAAGGAAUGGAAUAAUUUACAAAUCUCAUAAACUUUUUUUUCACAAUAAAAUAUAAAUAAUAUAUCAAAUGUUGAAAGUGAGACAUUUUGAAAUGUCAUGCCAAAUAUUGGCUCCUUUUGGAUUUCAUGAGAGCUACAUAUUACCAAAAAAAUUGGGACAGGUAGCAAUAAGAGGCCGGGAAAGUUAAAUGUAUGUAUAAGGAACAGCUGGAGGACCAAUUAGCAAACUUAUUAGGUCAAUUGGCAACAUGAUCUCAGAAGUCAAGAUGGGCAGAGGAUCACCAAUUCCCCCAAUGCUGUGGUGAAAAAUAGUGGAGCAAUAUCAGAAAGGAGUUUCUCAGAGAAAAAUUGCAAAGAGUUUGAAGUUAUCAUCAUCUACAGUGCAUAAUAUCAUCCAAAGAUUCAGAGAAUCUGGAACAAUCUCUGUGCGUAAGGGUCAAGGCCGGAAAACCAUACUGGAUGCUACUGUAAUGGAAAUCACAACAUUCGGCUAAAACUCUAUAAGUCAAAAAAGAAGCCAUAUCUAAACAUGAUCCAGAAGCGCAGGCGUUUUCUCUGGGCCAAGGCUCAUUUAAAAUGGACUGUGGCAAAGUGGAAAACUGUUCUGUGUCAGACGAAUCAAAAUUUGAAGUUCUUUUUUGGAAAACUGGACGCCAUGUCAUCCGGACUAAAGAGGACAAGGACAACACAAGUUGUUAUCCUGGAAAGGCACCAUCAAUGCUGAAAGGUAUAUCCAAGUUCUAGAACAACAUAUGCUCCCAUCCAGACGUCGUCUCUUCAGGGAAGACCUUGCAUUUUCCAACAUGACAAUGCCAGACCACAUACUGCAUCAAUUACAACAUCAUGGCUGCGUAGAAGAAGGAUCCGGGUACUGAAAUGGCCAGCCUGCAGUCCAGAUCUUUCACCCAUAGAAAACAUUUGGCGCAUCAUAAAGAGGAAGAUGCGACAAAGAAGACAGUUGAGCAACUAGAAGCCUGUAUUAGACAAGAAUGGAACAACAUUCCUACUCCUAAACUUGAGCAACUUGUCUCCUCAGUCCCCAGAAGUUUGCAGACUGUUAUAAAAAGAAGAGGGGAUGCCACACAGUGGUAAACAUGGCCUUGUCCCAACUUUUUUGAGAUGUGUUGAUGCCAUGAAAUUUAAAAUCAACUUAUUUUUCCCCUAAAAUGAUACAUUUUCUCAGUUUAAACAUUUGAUAUGUCAUCUAUUUUGUAUUCUAAAUAAAAUAUUGAAAUUUGAAACUUCCACAUAAUUGCAUUCUGUUCUAUUCACAAUUUGUACAGUGUCCCAACUUUUUUGGAAUCGGGUUUGUACAUAUAUACACAUUUAUACUGUAUAUUAAAUAUUUUGGUAACACUUUACUUAAAACCUUUAUUUAUAAUGCAUUACAAAAUAAGUUUUAUUGCGCCAAUUAUGCCUUGUAAUGCGUCUUAUAAUGCAUUAUACAAUCUCAUAAUUGUAACCACAGUUAAUACAUUAUAACACCUUAAUUCAUUGUUACACUAAGAAUUUUAAAUGUGGUUAUAAUUAUUUACGACAAGAUAUGAUGUAUUACAAUACACAUUAUGAAUAAUUAUAAUGCAUUAUACCUUUAAAUAACCCUUUAUAACGCAUUAUACACAAAGGCUUUAAGUAAAGUGUUACCAAUAUUUUU